GACGAACGCUUGCGGCGUGCUUAACACAUGCAAGUCGAACGGAAAGGCCCUGCUUUUGUGGGGUGCUCGAGUGGCGAACGGGUGAGUAACACGUGAGUAACCUGCCCUUGACUUUGGGAUAACUUCAGGAAACUGGGGCUAAUACCGGAUAGGAGCUCCUGCUGCAUGGUGGGGGUUGGAAAGUUUCGGCGGUUGGGGAUGGACUCGCGGCUUAUCAGCUUGUUGGUGGGGUAGUGGCUUACCAAGGCUUUGACGGGUAGCCGGCCUGAGAGGGUGACCGGCCACAUUGGGACUGAGAUACGGCCCAGACUCCUACGGGAGGCAGCAGUGGGGAAUAUUGCACAAUGGGCGGAAGCCUGAUGCAGCAACGCCGCGUGCGGGAUGACGGCCUUCGGGUUGUAAACCGCUUUCGCCUGUGACGAAGCGUGAGUGACGGUAAUGGGUAAAGAAGCACCGGCUAACUACGUGCCUGCAGCCGCGGUGAUACGUAGGGUGCGAGCGUUGUCCGGAUUUAUUGGGCGUAAAGGGCUCGUAGGUGGUUGAUCGCGUCGGAAGUGUAAUCUUGGGGCUUAACCCUGAGCGUGCUUUCGAUACGGGUUGACUUGAGGAAGGUAGGGGAGAAUGGAAUUCCUGGUGGAGCGGUGGAAUGCGCAGAUAUCAGGAGGAACACCAGUGGCGAAGGCGGUUCUCUGGGCCUUUCCUGACGCUGAGGAGCGAAAGCGUGGGGAGCGAACAGGCUUAGAUACCCUGGUAGUCCACGCUGUAAACGGUGGGUACUAGGUGUGGGGUCCAUUCCACGGGUUCCGUGCCGUAGCUAACGCUUUAAGUACCCCGCCUGGGGAGUACGGCCGCAAGGCUAAAACUCAAAGGAAUUGACGGGGCCCCGCACAAGCGGCGGAGCAUGCGGAUUAAUUCGAUGCAACGCGUAGAACCUUACCUGGGUUUGACAUGGAUCGGGAGUGCUCAGAGAUGGGUGUGCCUCUUUUGGGGUCGGUUCACAGGUGGUGCAUGGCUGUCGUCAGCUCGUGUCGUGAGAUGUUGGGUUAAGUCCCGCAACGAGCGCAACCCUUGUUCACUGUUGCCAGCACGUUAUGGUGGGGACUCAGUGGAGACCGCCGGGGUCAACUCGGAGGAAGGUGGGGAUGACGUCAAGUCAUCAUGCCCCUUAUGUCCAGGGCUUCACGCAUGCUACAAUGGCUGGUACAGAGAGUGGCGAGCCUGUGAGGGUGAGCGAAUCUCGGAAAGCCGGUCUCAGUUCGGAUUGGGGUCUGCAACUCGACCUCAUGAAGUCGGAGUCGCUAGUAAUCGCAGAUCAGCAACGCUGCGGUGAAUACGUUCCCGGG
rnacentral:rRNA from 1 species